AUAUUCAUUUGGCAGAGAAGAUGCCAUCCUCAUGAAGAUGGUUUUGCCUUGGAGAGGCUCCUCUGUUUUUCUCCGGAAGUGCUGAGCUCUGCAAUUUCCCCAAAUGUGGGAAAAUUGACUGCAGUACUUGUAGUGUGUGUGGGGGGGUGUAUUUGCACUUUCUUUUG
rnacentral:snRNA from 1 species